rnacentral:lncRNA from 1 species
AGGACAGAGUUAAUUUUUUUAACUUUGCCUGAAGAUUGAGGCAUGUAGGGUGUGUAGAGAACCUACUUUAUUUUUAAAGAUGUAGAGACGCCUUGGGUAAUUUGGCUGAUGAAGGCGGGCCCGUUAUCAGACUGGAUGAUGUUGGGAGUCCGAAACGGGGAACUAUAUGUAUGAUGAGAGUUUGAGUGAUGAUAUUUGCACUUUCUGAAGUUGUUGGGAAUGCUUCUCCCUACCCGGAGAAAGUACAGACAAAGACUGGAAGAUAGUGGAGCCGUUUAUUGGGCGGCAUGUGAGUGAAGUCUACUUGCCAAUUUUGCCCUAGCAUCUGGCCCCGGGGUUGGUGGGUAGGAAAAGACAGCGACCAGAGGGAGCUCUGGGGUGACACUGAGUGGCAGAUAGAGCAGGACUGGGUGAUUUUUUGAACACGACUGGAAAGGCGAGGACAAAUGAGAAUAGGGCAGAGAAGUUGAAAGAGAGGUUUGUAACUAACAUGGAAAGAGUUGUGGAGGCUUUGGAGGUGAGGAAGGCUUUGAGAGUGAGCAAGAACGAAGCGUCCUUCCUUGACAUAGCAUGGUCCUUGCUUUUGAAGGUUUUGGGCUUGGAAACCUCCUUCUGAGUAAAGAGGAGAGAACAAGGACAGGGACAGAAACUGGCCUUGCAUGGGUUGUAGGGCUACUCGUUUGGCUACCUGAUCUGCUAAAGCAUUCCCAGCUGAUAUAUGAUUGUCUGGGGUUUGGUGGCCCCUGCAAUGAAUGAUGGCAACUUUCUGUGGGAGCAUGGCAGCUUGAAGGAGCUUGCUGAUGAGAGAGCCAUUUAUGACAGGAGUGUUCUUUGCAGUUAGGAAACCUCAUUCUUUCCAGAUAGACGAGUGUGAGUGUACUAUAUGGAACGCAUAACAAGAAUCUGAAUAUAUGUUAAUUUGUUGUCCGGCUGCUAGAGUGACAGCUUGAGUGAGGGUGCUGAGUUCAGCUUUUUGGGAGGUGGUGCCUAGGGGGAGCGGAUUGGCUUCAAUAGUGUGUGUGUGGUGGGGGGUGACACUAUAGCAUAGCCAGCAUGUUGGCGUCCUUGAUGUAGGAAGGAGCUGCCAUCUACAAACUAAAUAAAGGAGGUACCUGGAAGGGGUUGGUCUGUUAGGUUUGGAAAAGGAUAAAAAAAGUUUGAACAGUGUUCACACAGAAGUGUGUAGGGUCUUGGGCGGUUGUAGCUUCAGGUAAGAGAAUGGCCGGGUUUAGAUGGGAGCUGGUUAGCAGGGUGAUUUGGGGGGGUUUCUAUGAAUAGAGUAUACAGUUGGAGGAGCCAUGGGGCAGAGAUGAGACUUAGUACACUGCAGUGAGCUAGCAUAUCUUUGAUGUUAUGGGUUGAAUAAACUGUUAGGUUGGCAUGGGGAGAUAGUUUUAGGCUUCUAAAGUUGAGGACAGCAGCUGCCGCCAGUGCUUGGAGGCAGGCAGGCCAUCCGUGAACUGUGGUUUCAAGUUGUUUGGAGAGGUAGAUGAUAACCUAGAGGGUGGGUCCCUUAGACUGGGUUAGAAUACCUAGUGCAACUCCACGUCGUUCAUCAGUAUAGAGGGAGAAAGGUUUGGUGAGGUCUGGGAGAGUGAGGAUUGGGGCUGAGAUGAGAGCCUUCUGGAGUAAACGGAAAGGUUGGGUAAUAGGCUGUGCAAGGUUCGAAGGCUCAUAGAGAGGGCCUUUAGCAGCUUGGUGUAACGGUUUGGCAAGUAGGCAGUCGGCUGUGAGCCCUCGGGUUUGCGGGGUAAGAGCUAGGCCUAGAUAGGUGACUGAGGGGGUGCAUGUUUGUGCUUUCUUAGGGAAGACACAAUACCCCCGUUCUGCCAAGAAGUUUAAAAGAGAGAGAUAGUAUAGGCAUUGCAGUCUCUUUGAGAGGGGCUUCACAGGAGCAGAUCAUUAACACAUUGAAGGGGAGUGGACAGUUUUAGGGAUAAGGUACAGAGGUCGUGAGCAAGGGCCUGUCCAAAAAGGUGGGGGCUGUCUCUGAAACCUUGAAGUAGUACACAUCAGGUGAGCUGACAUGAAAGGUGGGUGUCGGGGUUUUCCCACUUAAAGGCAAAGAGGUUUUGGGUGUAAAGGAAUUGUGGGAAAAAAAAAACAUCCUUUAGGUUUAGAACAGAAAAAUGGGUGGUAUUGGAGGGAACUGUGGAAAGUAAACUAUAUGGGUUAGGAACUACUGGACAUACAGGAGUACAGCUUGGUUAAUGAGCUGAGGUCCUGGACUAACUGUUAACUUCCGUCUGGCUUUUUAAUAGGUAGAACUGAUGUGUUAAAAGGGGAGUUUGUUGGGCGGAGUAGGUGACUGGCGAGGAGGCGAGAAAUGAUAGGCUUUAGGCCUGUGAGAGUUGCUUGGGUGAUGGGAUACUGCUUCUGUGAUAGGAACUGGGUGGGCUCCUUAAGGGUAAUGCGGACGGGGGUGUGGUGUUCUGUGACUGAGGGUGUGUAAGUAUCCUAAACAGCAGGGUUAACUACGGGUGGAGGUGGAUUUUUAGG